GAUAGUAGCAAUACUAUGCUGCUAAGUGGCGCACGGGUGAGUAAUAUAUAGGUAACAUGCCCUUAAGAGGGGGAUAACAGAGGGAAACCUUUGCUAAUACCCCAUAACCCUUCUUGUCAUAAGAUGAGUUGGCAAAGUUUUUUCGCUUAAGGAUUGGCCUGUAUUGUAUCAGCUUGUUGGUGAGGUAACGGCUCACCAAGGCUAUGACGCAUAACUGGUCUGAGAGGAUGAUCAGUCACACUGGAACUGAGACACGGUCCAGACUCCUACGGGAGGCAGCAGUGGGGAAUAUUGCACAAUGGGGGAAACCCUGAUGCAGCAACGCCGCGUGGAGGAUGACACUUUUCGGAGCGUAAACUCCUUUUCUGUUAGAAGAUAAUGACGGUAUAACAGGAAUAAGCACCGGCUAACUCCGUGCCAGCAGCCGCGGUAAUACGGAGGGUGCAAGCGUUACUCGGAAUCACUGGGCGUAAAGAGCGUGUAGGCUGUUUAGCAAGUCAGAAGUGAAAUCCUAUAGCUCAACUAUAGAACUGCUUUUGAAACUGCUUAACUAGAGUGUGGGAGAGGCAGAUGGAAUUUCUGGUGUAGGGGUAAAAUCCGUAGAUAUCAGAAGGAAUACCGAUUGCGAAGGCGAUCUGCUGGAACAUUACUGACGCUGAGGCGCGAAAGCGUGGGGAGCAAACAGGAUUAGAUACCCUGGUAGUCCACGCCCUAAACGAUGUACACUAGUUGUUGUGGUGCUAGUCACUGCAGUAAUACAGCUAACGCAUUAAGUGUACCGCCUGGGGAGUACGGUCGCAAGAUUAAAACUCAAAGGAAUAGACGGGGACCCGCACAAGCGGUGGAGCAUGUGGUUUAAUUCGAAGAUACGCGAAAAACCUUACCUGGCCUUGACAUUGAUAGAAUCCGAUAGAGAUAUUGGAGUGCCGGCUUGCCGGAACUUGAAAACAGGUGCUGCACGGCUGUCGUCAGCUC
rnacentral:rRNA from 1 species